rnacentral:lncRNA from 1 species
CUAAAACAAUGUCGAAUUAAUCUUCUAUAAAAGCAAAAAAAAAAAAAAUUUCCUCAAAAUAUCCUGCUCCAUUUUCUCUUGAGAGUCACUUUUUUUUGCUUUCUUUCUAAGGAUUUUAUCAAAAACUUUAAGAGAUUCCAAAAACUGAUUAACUUUUUUAAAUUUUGACACCGUGAAAUUCAAAAGGGCAUUAGAAUUUUCAAAUGAAAUCAAGAAAUCUUGCAAACAUAAAAAAUGUCAGCCUCGUUCUCUUACGACCAUCGUGAACUUUAUCAAAAAAUUAAAAAUAUUCAAAUGAAAAUUCCAAAAAAUACUUAGAUUUCAACAAAGAUUAAAACAAAUUUCAGAAUAAUCCUAAACCCUAGGCCAGAAAUCAAAUUCCAAAACCUAGAAAUUUAAAAAAAAAAUCCUCUUGAACACAAAUAAUCCCCUAACUUAUAAGAAUCACUCAAAAUCCAAACAAAACCUUAGAAUAAAAAAUAAACAAAAAUUGAAAACUCGUAUAAACCCAAAAUUUGUUUUCUUUAAAUUGAUUGCUUCCCAAGAUUUAAAAAAACAAGAAAACUCUUCUUCUCUCUAUCUUUUUUUCUCCCUUAUUUUUCAAUAUGUGAACUUGAGUUUCAUUAAUAGGGUUCUUUUAACAAAAUUUUAGAGAUUUAUCAUGCUUGAAUCUUGAGAUUUUAUUAUAGUUUGAUUGUGGUCAACUAUUGUGUGAUUGAUUUUGUUUCUG